GGCGUGGUGGCGAAGUGGUAACGCGGUGGUCUGCAAAACCACUAUGCAUGGGUUCAAUUCCCAUCCACGCCUCCA
rnacentral:tRNA from 1 species